UUGGUCAAGAUCAAAUCUAGCGUUAAGCUCAAUAUACUGCUUUAAACGAUUACUCUGAUGUAGAAUGUGUUAAAAAAUCUCAUUUGUAUAAAAAUAUAUAGAAGUAUAUAAAGCCAACACAUUAACAAUGAUUUGUCACCAAGCAUAUUGAGGAGCAACCCAAUUUCUUCAGAAGCAAAAAUGUAACUGAGAGUUUUUAAGUUAACUGGGAGUUUCAAAUAGUAAUUGUCAUGAUUGCACCAUUUAAUCAGCCAACUACACCAGAAAAAAUCUAUUUCAAUAAAGUUCACCUACAGAUAGAUAGUGAUGUGGGGCAAUCCUUUGAUCAUCUCAAAAACCAUUGGAUGUCACAAGAGACGUGAAGCACUUCAGUGCUCCUAAACAUAUGCUUACCCAAACUAUAUAUUGCAAAAUAUAUUUUAAUUGUAAGUUGCUGGAAAACUUUUACAAUUCCUUAGGAUUAGAAAUUCCAGAUGACAUAAACUUUGAGGACAACAACGAAGAUGAUGUACACUAUGUUCAGGUUGAAUUAACACAAGUCAACCAAUUCGACUUGGCAUUGUACAAAGAACACUAGUUAAAACUAUGUUAUUAAAUUGAAGGGGAUAUGGGGAUAUAUAUGAUUUACGUGAUAUUUAUGAAUGAAAAAAAUGAAAGUUUUUUA